rnacentral:misc_RNA from 1 species
UCUAACCAAGGUUGGGAAUCAAAAAAGGUCUCAUCUUUGCUUCCACAGUCCUCAAAAGUCUUGAUUGGAGGGUCAACAUUGACGUGUUUAUCCUUGAUGGGUGAUUCUGGAAUUACAAGAUUGUCCGUUUUGGACCCAAAUGAUACUCCUAGUUUCAUGGCCGACUCUGGGGCGCUCUUGUGGACAGAAACGCAAGAACCCAUCUUUUCUUUCUUCGUCUAAAGAACCACCACCACAGCCACAGCCAAGACCACCAG